GACGGAGGAUGCAAGUGUUAUCCGGAAUCACUGGGCGUAAAGCGUCUUUAGGUGGUUUAAUAAGUCAACUGUUAAAUCUUGAGGCUCAACCUCAAAAUCGCAGUCGAAACUAGUAGACUAGAGUAUAGUAGGGGUAAAGGGAAUUUCCAGUGGAGCGGUGAAAUGCGUAGAUAUUGGAAAGAACACCGAUGGCGAAGGCACUUUACUGGGCUAUUACUAACAAUCAGAGACGAAAGCUAGGGUAGCAAAUGGG
rnacentral:rRNA from 1 species